rnacentral:rRNA from 1 species
AUACGUAGAUGGCAAGCGUUAUCCGGAAUGACUGGGCGUAAAGGGUGCGUAGGCGGUUGUUUAAGUCAGAUGUUAAAAUCCCGGGCCCAACCUGGGAACUGCAUUUGAAACUGGACGACUUGAGUGCAGGAGAGGAAAGAGGAAUUCCUAGUGCAGCGGUGAAAUUCGCAGAUAUUAGGAGGAACACCAGUGGCGAAGGCGGCUGUCUGGACUGUAACUGACGCGGAGGCAAGAAAGCGUGGGGAGCGAACAGGAGUAGAGGCCCUGGUAGUCCACGCUGUAAACGAUGAAUGCUAGGUGUGGGGUGUCAAAGCUCCGUGCCGCAGUUAACACAAUAAGCAUUCCGCCUGGGGAGUACGGCCGCAAGGUUGA